AGAUCUAAAAAUAAAUACUAUGCCAUCAUACAACAACUGACAAUAUCAAUAUGACAAAUGUCAACAACCUACACACGCAUAGUCGCACAUGAUAAACAUAUACACUCAAAUACUUAACAUACACACACAAUUGACACAAAGUAUUAGCGAAAUGAUGCAGCAGCAAUUGCCAGAGUCUUAGAUCUGAAACAACUCAACAAAAAUAGUUAGCCUCAGUCGACAACCUCCGAAAACUAGUAAACUGAGCAUUAUAAACAGCCUGUCAGAAAGGGUAACGGCUGCACGCAGCGAGAAAAAUGAUGUC